rnacentral:misc_RNA from 1 species
GGGAGAUGAUGGAAGAAGGAACAGAUGGGGAGGAUAGGCAAUCUUAGCGUCGUCUUUUCUUCCGAUAUAUAAUUUGCCGAGUAACCAACAUUUAGCGAGAAAUGUCUCACUCUCUGCAUUUGUGCAUCCCUGCUACACCAGCUCUUGAAUCUUUCACGAGAAAGAGAGCACGGCGUUUUCAAACUCUCUCUUCUUCUCUACAAUCCAAUCUUCAAAGCGGACAAGAUGAGCCUGACAACUGCAGGGGUCGGUGCGAAGCCAAUGUGAUUUUGGUGGAGAGAUAUGCCAAUGGAUCUUCUAGAAGGUAUAUACUAGACGAUGACUCGCAAUUAAAAAGUUUUCUUGAGGAACAUGGUGCCAAAAAUAGUAGGUUCCAAGAAUCACAUUCGUUGGACACAAAACUGUCAUGGCUUCCAUAUUCAAUCAAAGAUUUUGUUCUACCUGUAGGCUUCCCAGGAUCAGUUUCAGAUGACUACUUGCAGUACAUGUUGUUACAGUUCCCUACCAAUGUUACUGGAUGGAUCUGUCACACUUUAGUAACAUCAAGUCUCCUCAAGGCUAUUGGUGUUGGCUCUUUCACAGGUACUACAGCUGCUGCUUCUGCUGCUGCUAUCAGAUGGGUGUCAAAGGAUGGCAUUGGAGCUCUAGGGCGCCUAUUUGUUGGUGGACGAUUUGGAAAUCUUUUUGAUGAUGAUCCAAAACAAUGGCGCAUGUAUGCAGACUUCAUUGGCAGUGCAGGAAGCAUCUUUGAUCUAGUGACGCAAGUGUAUCCUGCCUAUUUCCUGCCAUUGGCUUCUCUUGGAAAUCUUGCAAAGGCUGUAGCAAGAGGCCUAAAAGACCCUUCCUUCCGUGUGAUUCAAAACCAUUUUGCAAUCUCAGGAAAUUUGGGAGAGGUAGCUGCAAAGGAGGAAGUUUGGGAAGUAGGUGCUCAAUUGUUUGGCCUUGCAUUGGGCAUACUGAUGCUGGAUACACCUGGCCUUGUAAAAUCUUUUCCAGUGUUGGCAUCGACUUGGAUGAGCAUUCGGGUUCUGCACCUUUGGUUGCGUUAUCUAUCACUCUCAGUUCUACAGUUUGACACAAUAAAUCUCAAGCGUGCCCGUUCGCUGGUUAAAUCACAUGUUUCGCACUCUGCUGUUUUGGGUAACUUCAUACCCUUUUUAAGUCCCUUUGUCUUACAAGUUAUGCCAUUUACAGCAUUCAGUUUGAGUAUUUGUUCAGGAUGUGCUGAUUGCAAUCGAGAAGAAAAUAUUUUAUCAUGGGAAACAUUCAUGAAGCCACGAAUUAUUUUCAGUGCGCCCUUAGAGGAGAUGGUUGGCAGUGAGAGAUCUGUUGCCAAGGUGAAGACACUUCUAAAACUAUAUACAAAGGAGAAAUAUUUGCUUAUGGUAAACCAACAAAAAAGAGACUUUGAGGUGUUUGUCUCAUUCAAGGUGCAAAAAAAUAAAUGGUAACUUGGGAUGAUUUAACUGAACAGUGAUUAACGUCUUCAACUUGAUUAAACUUAAAAAUUCCACUGUAGGUUGGAGCUACAAGUAUCUCUGUCUUGCGAAGUGUGUGGCAGACUUACUGGCUACAUGAAAACUGGGAAAGCUCUGUUAACGUCUUUGAUCAGCUUGCACAAAGCCUACGAGAGAUGGAAAAUAGGUUUGAAGACUUCAUGCAACAGUUAGACGUAGCUGGAUGGCAUACUCAUGAAAUAAAUCUGAAGGUCCCUAGGGAAAUCUGCAUUGAUGAACUGGGCACUAUUUAAUGUGCAAAUGUCAGUAAUCCAAAUGCCAUUGUCAUUGCAACCAUCUCAAGCUACCUUCUGCACUUGAAAUUAUAUGGCCUGUCAGAAAAAACCAACAUGCUUUGGGCAUUGUCCUCAUCCAUCGGGCAGCUCUUUGAAGAAGGUCGAGCUUCAUGUUCCAAGUGUGAGCCUAGUUAAAAAUGAAGAAGCUGAGCUUUGCAUGCCAUGCUUGAUAGAGGAAAGGGCUAGAGGUAAGUUUUUAUUUCACUGAAAUGCCCUGACAGCCAUUGCAAAUCUCAGAGUUGUGUCUCGGCCUGAACUGAUGAGAUAUUGUCAAUUAUUAGCCAAUUUUAUUGUCUUAACUUUAAUUAAUUAUUUCAUAAUUUCAUCAGUCGCACCUUUGUUCUUAAAGAGAAGUGUAUUACAUAUACUCAAAUUAUGAUUUUUCUUAUCUUGAUCAGGUUUACUAUGGAUACAAGAUGUAUAGUGGAACCUAUUUAUUAAACAUAUGAAUCUCACAUGUUUGUAUUUGGAACCCAUAUUGAAUUAUACCUAGGUAAGAAUUUUCUUCAAAGAUGAUGAUGGCAUUAUAACAAAGUACCUCUUUUGACUUUAGACUGGAG